rnacentral:rRNA from 1 species
AUAAUAGACUACCCUGGUAGUCCACGCCGUAAACGAUGAGUGCUAAGUGUUAGAGGGUUUCCGCCCUUUAGUGCUGAAGUUAACGCAUUAAGCACUCCGCCUGGGGAGUACGGCCGCAAGGCUGAAACUCAAAGGAAUUGACGGGGGCCCGCACAAGCGGUGGAGCAUGUGGUUUAAUUCGAAGCAACGCGAAGAACCUUACCAGGUCUUGACAUCCUCUGACAACCCUAGAGAUAGGGCUUCUCCUUCGGGAGCAGAGUGACAGGUGGUGCAUGGUUGUCGUCAGCUCGUGUCGUGAGAUGUUGGGUUAAGUCCCGCAACGAGCGCAACCCUUGAUCUUAGUUGCCAUCGGGUAAAGCCGGGCACUCUAGGGAGACUGCCGGUGUCAAACCGGAGGAAGGUAGGGACGACGUCAAGUCAUCAUGGCCCUUACGCCCAGGGCGACACACGUGCUACAAUGGCCGGUACAGAGCGUCGCUAGCUCGCAAGAGUAUGCUAAUCGCCAAAAGCCGGUCUAAGUUCGGAUUGUGGGCUGCAACCCCG